rnacentral:rRNA from 1 species
AAACCCUGGCUUCGGUCAGGGGAGUAAAGUGGCGCACGGGUGAGUAACGCGUGAGUAACCUACCCCACUUGACUGGAAUAACGUCGGGAAACUGGCGCUAAUACCGGAUGAAAUCCCGGGUUGCAAGGCUACGGGAUCAAAGGAGGCCUCUCCAUGGAAGCUUCCACAAGGGGAUGGGCUCGCGUCCCAUUAGCUAGUUGGUAGGGUAAUGGCCUACCAAGGCGACGAUGGGUAGCCGGCCUGAGAGGGUGUCCGGCCACACUGGAACUGAAACACGGUCCAGACUCCUACGGGAGGCAGCAGUGAGGAAUUUUGCGCAAUGGGCGAAAGCCUGACGCAGCGACGCCGCGUGGGCGAUGAAGCUUCUUGGAGUGUAAAGCCCUGUCAGGUGGGACGAAUCCGGAGGGUGCAAAUAGUGCCUUUCGCUGACGGUACCACCAGAGGAAGCCCCGGCUAACUCCGUGCCAGCAGCCGCGGUAAUACGGAGGGGGCGAGCGUUGUUCGGAAUCACUGGGUGUAAAGGGUGCGUAGGCGGUGCGUUAAGUCUGAUGUGAAAGCCCUGGGCUCAACUCAGGAAUUGCAUUGGAAACUGGCGUGCUGGAGUACGGGAGAGGGAAGCGGAAUUCCUGGUGUAGCGGUGAAAUGCGUAGAUACCAGGAGGAACACCGGUGGCGAAGGCGGUUUCCUGGCCCAGUACUGACGCUGAGGCACGAAAGCGUGGGGAGCGAACGGGAUUAGAUACCCCGGUAGUCCACGCUGUAAACGAUGUGUGCUAGGUGUUGGAGGUAUCGACCCCUUCAGUG